rnacentral:misc_RNA from 1 species
UGGUUCAUUUUUUUUUUUUUUUUUGCCCCCUAAAGAUCUCUAUGAAGAGAAGUCCUUAGGUGUUCAGCUGUACAGCUCCUCCAAAAUAGGACUUGCGAAGUGAAGCUCUGUUUAUUUCUUGUUAUUAUUAACAGAAAGAAAGAAAGGAGAAAGAUAAAAGGGGUCGAUGCAUAUGAUAGAGGAAAGAAAUUAGGACAGGACGGUCCCGUUCGGUUUUAUAGACAGAAGGAAAAAAUUUGUAAAGGAGAGAGACGAGAGAAUCAACAAAAGAAAAUUAUUGAGAGAGAAAAGUC